rnacentral:rRNA from 1 species
GACGAACCGUGCGAACGUUGUUCGGAAUCACUGGGCUUAAAGGGCGCGUAGGCGGGCCGGCAAGUCCGGGGUGAAAGCCCCCAGCUCAACUGGGGAAGCGCCUUGGAUACUGCCGGCCUCGAGGGAGGUAGGGGCGUGCGGAACUUCCGGUGGAGCGGUGAAAUGCGUAGAUAUCGGAAGGAACACCGGUGGCGAAAGCGGCGCGCUGGACCUCUUCUGACGCUGAGGCGCGAAAGCCAGGGGAGCAAACGGGAUUAGAUACCCCGGUAGUCCUGGCCCUAAACGAUGGGCACUAGGUUGUGGGCUUACAUGGGCUCACAGCCGGAGCAAAAGUAUUAAGUGCCCCGCCUGGGGAGUAUGGUCGCAAGGCUGAA